UUUUAAAAAGUUUAAUCUAUUUGUAUUGUUAAAAAUUAAUGUUAUUAACGAAAUAACCAAACAAUAAUACCUGACAUGCCAUUUGUACUUCAUAUUGAUGGGCAUGAACCAGUUUUUAAUAGUAGAAAUGAAUAAAAAUUUUAAUA
rfam:Gossypium raimondii Chr04_contig_426, whole genome shotgun sequence.